rnacentral:rRNA from 1 species
GAGUUUGAUCCUGGCUCAGAUUGAACGCUGGCGGCAUGCCUUACACAUGCAAGUCGAACGGCAGCAUGAUCUAGCUUGCUAGAUUGAUGGCGAGUGGCGAACGGGCGAGUAAUACAUCGGAACGUGCCCUGUAGUGGGGGAUAACUAGUCGAAAGAUUAGCUAAUACCGCAUACGACCUGAGGGUGAAAGUGGGGGACCGCAAGGCCUCAUGCUAUAGGAGCGGCCGAUGUYUGAUUAGCUAGUUGGUGGGGUAGAGGCCCACCAAGGCGACGAUCAGUAGCUGGUCUGAGAGGACGAUCAGCCACACUGGGACUGAGACACGGCCCAGACUCCUACGGGAGGCAGCAGUGGGGAAUUUUGGACAAUGGGCGAAAGCCUGAUCCAGCAAUGCCGCGUGUGUGAAGAAGGCCUUCGGGUUGUAAAGCACUUUUGUCCGGAAAGAAAUGGCUYUGGUUAAUACCUGGGGUCGAUGACGUACCGAAGAUUAGUKGAC